rnacentral:rRNA from 1 species
GACGAAGGGGGCUAGCGUUGUUCGGAAUCACUGGGCGUAAAGGGAGCGUAGGCGGAUGUUUUAAGUUGGAUGUUUAAAACCGGGGCCUAACCCCGGAGCGGCAUCCAAAACUGGAUAUCUUGAAUAGGUCAGAGGCUGGUGGAAUUGGAGGUGUAGCGGUGGAAUGCGUAGAGAUCUCCAAGAACACCUAUUGCGAAGGCAGCCAGCUGGGACCAUAUUGACGCUGAGGCUCGAAAGCAUGGGGGAGCAAACAGG